UGACUCAGCGUUGUAGCAGAUGAGAACUUCUGCAUGUGGCAUGACUCGGCGUUGUAGCAGAAGUCAGAUGUGUACAGGGUGAACAGAUGAUCUUACAAGUCUCUUUCCUGUUACAUGCCAGCCCCUGCUUCCCCUCUGAGUCGUGUGUGUGUGUGUGUGUGUGUGUGUGUGUGUGUGUGUGUGUGUGUCAAUGCCUGAGUCAUGUAUGUGUCUGAACACCAAACGGGAGAACAGCAGCGCUGGUGCUCCCUCUGCUGGUCAUUCCCCUGCUACUGCAACAGCACCUCUGCUGGUCAUUCCCCUGAUGCUACUGCAACAACACCUCUGCCAGUCAUUCCCCUGAUGCUACUGCAACAGCACCUCUGCCAGUCAUUCCCCUGAUGCUACUGCAACAGCACCUCUGCUGGUGGCUGGAAACCUACAGAAUCAGAAUCAUGUGGAACGGAACUUUUUUUUUUACUCUAACUAGAAUCUAAUUUAGAAUGGAUUUCAGGAGAUCAGUAAACAGAGUGACAACUUUACAGUGGAAAUGGAUAUUACAGCCUGGACCCACAAACUUUGCCUUGGAAAUGGAUAUUACAGCCUGGACCCACAAACUUUACAGUGGAAAUGGAUAUUACAGCCUGGACCCACAAACUUUACACUGGAAAUGGAUACUCAGAGCUCUAGAGAGAGUUCUAUCUAUAAGGCUCUGGAUAUACUUACAGCCUGGACACAAACUUUUUAUGGACUCAAAAAUGAGUUUCCCUAUUCUUGACAACUGUGAGUAACCCUUUGGCUGACCCUCACAGAGACUUCGUAUAUACAGCCAAUGUCCCUCCCGCACACGCACACCGAGAGAGAGAGAGAGAGAGAGAGAGAGAGAGAGAGAGAGAGAGACAGCACUCAGGAGGUUUGGAGUUUUAUUAUUCCCAGCUGUGGUGUGCAAAUAAACAAGUAAACAAAUAAACACUGAAAGUGGAUCUUUAGGACUUCAGGGUAAGAGUGUGAGUGUGUGUGUGAGUGUGUGUGUGCUAGCCUAUGUGUAUGUCUUUAGGACUUCAGCAUAAGUGUGUGUGUGUGUGUGUGAGUGUGUGUGCUAGCCUAUGUGUAUGUCUUUAGGACUUCAGCGUAAGAGUGUGAUGUGUGUGUGUGUGUGUGUGUGUGUGUGUGUGUGUGAGUGUGUGUGUGUGUGUGUGUGUGUGUGUGUGUGU